CUGUAAGCCUGCGAAGGUGUGCUGUGAGGCAUGCUGGAGGUAUCAGAAGUGCGAAUGCUGACAUAAGUAACGAUAAAGCGGGUGAAAAGCCCGCUCGCCGGAAGACCAAGGGUUCCUGUCCAACGUUAAUCGGGGCAGGGUGAGUCGACCCCUAAGGCGAGGCCGAAAGGCGUAGUCGAUGGGAAACAGGUUAAUAUUCCUGUACUUGGUGUUACUGCGAAGGGGGGACGGAGAAGGCUAUGUUGGCCGGGCGACGGUUGUCCCGGUUUAAGCGUGUAGGCUGGUUUUCCAGGCAAAUCCGGAAAAUCAAGGCUGAGGCGUGAUGACGAGGCACUACGGUGCUGAAGCAACAAAUGCCCUGCUUCCAGGAAAAGCCUCUAAGCAUCAGGUAACAUCAAAUCGUACCCCAAACCGACACAGGUGGUCAGGUAGAGAAUACCAAGGCGCUUGAGAGAACUCGGGUGAAGGAACUAGGCAAAAUGGUGCCGUAACUUCGGGAGAAGGCACGCUGAUAUGUAGGUGAAGUCCCUCGCGGAUGGAGCUGAAAUCAGUCGAAGAUACCAGCUGGCUGCAACUGUUUAUUAAAAACACAGCACUGUGCAAACACGAAAGUGGACGUAUACGGUGUGACGCCUGCCCGGUGCCGGAAGGUUAAUUGAUGGGGUCAGCGCAAGCGAAGCUCUUGAUCGAAGCCCCGGUAAACGGCGGCCGUAACUAUAACGGUCCUAAGGUAGCGAAAUUCCUUGUCGGGUAAGUUCCGACCUGCACGAAUGGCGUAAUGAUGGCCAGGCUGUCUCCACCCGAGACUCAGUGAAAUUGAACUCGCUGUGAAGAUGCAGUGUACCCGCGGCAAGACGGAAAGACCCCGUGAACCUUUACUAUAGCUUGACACUGAACAUUGAGCCUUGAUGUGUAGGAUAGGUGGGAGGCUUGGAAGUGUGGACGCCAGUCUGCAUGGAGCCGACCUUGAAAUACCACCCUUUAAUGUUUGAUGUUCUAACGUUGACCCGUAAUCCGGGUUGCGGACAGUGUCUGGUGGGUAGUUUGACUGGGGCGGUCUCCUCCUAAAGAGUAACGGAGGAGCACGAAGGUUGGCUAAUCCUGGUCGGACAUCAGGAGGUUAGUGCAAUGGCAUAAGCCAGCUUGACUGCGAGCGUGACGGCGCGAGCAGGUGCGAAAGCAGGUCAUAGUGAUCCGGUGGUUCUGAAUGGAAGGGCCAUCGCUCAACGGAUAAAAGGUACUCCGGGGAUAACAGGCUGAUACCGCCCAAGAGUUCAUAUCGACGGCGGUGUUUGGCACCUCGAUGUCGGCUCAUCACAUCCUGGGGCUGAAGUAGGUCCCAAGGGUAUGGCUGUUCGCCAUUUAAAGUGGUACGCGAGCUGGGUUUAGAACGUCGUGAGACAGUUCGGUCCCUAUCUGCCGUGGGCGCUGGAGAACUGAGGGGGGCUGCUCCUAGUACGAGAGGACCGGAGUGGACGCAUCACUGGUGUUCGGGUUGUCAUGCCAAUGGCACUGCCCGGUAGCUAAAUGCGGAAGAGAUAAGUGCUGAAAGCAUCUAAGCACGAAACUUGCCCCGAGAUGAGUUCUCCCUGACUCCUUGAGAGUCCUGAAGGAACGUUGAAGACGACGACGUUGAUAGGCCGGGUGUGUAAGCGCAGCGAUGCGUUGAGCUAACCGGUACUAAUGAACCGUGAG
rnacentral:rRNA from 1 species